CUUCCAGGCAUCCUCUGGAGAUAAAAGCACUGAGUAAAUAAAUCAAAGGGAGGGAUUGCUCUGUUUCUAGUUCAGCUUUAUUGUAAGACCGUAGUAGCAGUGACAGCAAAAGUAGUUCUUGCACCUUCCUUGACUAUCUCGUUAUUCCAUGCACACCACAGAUUGCUUGUAGGGCUGGCGCCCAUGUGCCGUGCUCUGUUCCUGCUGCUUGUGGUUGCACAUGCUCGUGCGUGCCUGCAGAACGUGUGUCUGCCCCGGCACGGUUGCCAACACCCAUCCUGGACACAUCUGCAUGAUCAUCUGCCCGUCUGCGGAGUGCGUUUGCCUGCGCACGCCAGCACGGUGUGUGCCCGGGGGUCCCGNNNNNNNNNNNNNNNNNNNNNNNNNNNNNNNNNNNNNNNNNNNNNNNNNNNNNNNNNNNNNNNNNNNNNNNNNNNNNNNNNNNNNGGCGCAGAGCCCCAGUCAGCGGCCGCGGAGCUCCGGGAGCCGCCGGCCUGUUCCAGCAGGAUCCAGCGGGAUCCCGCGCUGCCCGUGCGGAGGCUGCUUCUGCCUCUGUGGCCGGCCGGGAUGCCCUCGGGUGGGAGAUCCCGCCGGCAGCGGAAUGCCCCGCAUCCCUGCCGAGCCCCCGGCUGCCCCCGGCCUCCCGCCUGGUUUUUGAGCGAGGGCUCUGCGUGCUUUGUGCCGCCGAGCGCCGCGGCCGCGGAGCCAGUCCCGCCGCUCAGGAUUUCCAGAGCCGCGCUCGGCGGAAGGCGCCGUAUCAGGAUAAGAGUCCCCGCCGCCGCCACCCGCCCGCUCCCGCCCGUCCGACCCCGGGGGCGGUGGGAGGCGCUGCCUCCCCCGAUGGCUGCUUUUAUCGCGCUGNNNGCCUCGCCAAACGCUUUAACCCUUCGCGCCCCCUCUGCAGGCGCCGGCAGCGGGUGCGGUGCCCGACCCCGCAGACUGCCCGGGGGUCAGAGCUCCGGCUCUCCUGGCCCUAGCGGUUGGCAGGGGCAGAAGUUCCCUCGCACCUCCGGCGCCAGUAAACCUCAGCCUUUUCUCUGUUUGCUGCUUUGCAGGGCCUGCCCUGGACAGCAGCAGUGUCCCAAGACGAGGAACAGCCACGCAGGGCCCCACGUAGAGCAGUCCAAAUACACUAGAGCAGAUAGCAAAGGCCAUCUGAGGCUAGGCAGCUGUGGUAGGAGUGAAGCUCAUACUCCAUGCCAGGAUUCCAGCAUCAGGACUAUGUGGACCUGAGAUGAUUUCCCUAGGGUUGCAGUGAGCAUCUAAGGUGUUUCAAGGAUAAGGCUGGCAUUCAGGAUGUAGAGGAGUAACAAGAAGGGAAGAAGGCUUGAAGAGCUGCAUUCUGCCUGCACCCAUACAGGCAUUGGGAAUGAAUCAGGCAUCAGAGCAAUAGCAAGGCAUCGAGGAUGCUGAGUCUUGGUGUCACUGUGAUCCUGGAUCCAUGUCAGGAGUUUGUCUUUGCUAGAUGAUGGUCUGUCAGCCAUGCUGUAGCUGCAGCAGAGUAUUUUCAUCUGAAAAGAGGAUGUCUCCGUUUGAUUAAAUUCUCCCUCAGUACCUCAGCGCAGGCUGUGCUUUGCCUUUAGGACUGCAGCAAAGGAAAAUACCAGCAUAUGGAGGGGGCCAGUGCUCAGCUCUAGCGUAAGGAUGCUGAACAGGAGACUCUGGCUUGGCUGCAUUGUUUCAGUGCUGUCUUUGAGCUUCCAAGUUUCUUUCAACUGCAGUGGCCAAACAGUCUUCGUCUGCUGAAGAUGUGAUAGUUAAUAAGGAAAGGUAAUCCUGUUUAAAAGAAGAAACCAAACUGGGCACGUGUGAUUCUGUCCAGGUCCAUCUAGACAAUGGCACAGGCUGCCUAGGCAGCUGCAGAGGUAGCAAAGGUAGUGCAGGCUUCUUGCAGUGGCCUGCUGCUGGUGGCUGCCCUGCUGAAACUCCAGUGAGCAUGAAAUGAGGGAACCCAUUCUUCCCCAGCUAACUGCAGGGUUGGGUGCAGACCUGGGGCGUCUCCUAGGCUGGCUUUUCUUCCUUUUCCCUGAGAAAUGGCUUUGUAGUACCACCAAAACAGAAGUUGGAUUGGACUUUGCAAUGCAGUCCAAGGGAGAUCACAAGGGAGGCACAUCUGGGACUUUUGAAACUAUGGGGUAGAAACUGUACUAGUUUCUGAGCAGAGGAAAAGGACACUGGCCAGGAGUCUGCAUAGGGAUGGACAGGACUGAGAGCAGCAUGGGAAGAGAUGAAG
ensembl:lncRNA